rnacentral:lncRNA from 1 species
GAUCUGAUUCACAGGUACGGGGAUCAGGACUGCAACACCAUGUAUCUUUUUGGGAGGACACAAUUCAACCCACAACAAUCAGGUACAAUCAAAAACAAUAAAGAUACUUCCGGGAUUAAAUGGUAAAAAAAAAAAUUAGAAAAUAAAGAGAAAAGAGAACGUAAGCAAAGCCAAUUCAAAGGAAGAAAUAAAAAUGGAGAGGAGAUGAAAUGGGGAGAUGUCGGUCACAGCGUGCAAACUGAGUCACAAAAGGAACCAGCUCUGGAUCUCAGUGGACUAUCAGGUGACGUCAUCCCAUAGGCAGGUGGGAAAGACGGGAGUAGAGCCUAGAAGAGGCCACAGGACCAACACCGGGAGCUGCCCGCAGAGAAUUGAGGACUGAAGUGGCCAUAAACGCCAAGCUCUGCAAGGGAGUGACCACAGAGAGAAAAGAGCAGAGGGUGGACCACGAAAUCCUCGGGAGAUCCUUGGAAAGGGGAGCAGGGAAGAACUGAUGUGAAGAUGCCAGAUGGGGGGUGGGGACCUGAGCUGGGCAGGUCUCCAAAGUGAGUGGAGGCAGGAGUGUCAGGGGAAGGGAAAUCCACACCACAUCUUACACAUGCAGUGUCAACAAAGUCAGAGAAGAGGUGAGGAGCCAAAGACCCUACAAUGUCACUGGGUUCAUCUGGGAAGUUGGUGUUGAUUAGAAGAGAGUACUUUGGCGGACUGAG